rfam:Schistosoma margrebowiei strain Zambia genome assembly, scaffold: SMRZ_scaffold0001726
AUUCAACUUACGAGUCCCAAACAAGACGAAACGCGCGUCCUGCUU